rnacentral:rRNA from 1 species
CACGUAGGGGGCAAGCGUUGUCCGGAUUUAUUGGGCGUAAAGAGCUCGUAGGCGGUUCGGUAAGUCGGGUGUGAAACCUCCAGGCUCAACCUGGAGUCGCCACUCGAUACUGCUGUGACUAGAGUCCGGUAGGGGAGCGUGGAAUUCCUGGUGUAGCGGUGAAAUGCGCAGAUAUCAGGAGGAACACCAGCGGCGAAGGCGGCGCUCUGGGCCGGAACUGACGCUGAGGAGCGAAAGCGUGGGGAGCGAACAGG